GAUGGCUGCCGUUUCAGAGGAUAAAGGAGAAGUAGUGUAUGGAUAUACUGCAGAACUGAUGGGGUUAAUUAAUACUGAAUAUAAGUUUAAUGGUAUGUUUGAUUUUCAAGUUAUUCCUCCUGGUCUUAGUACUGUCCAGCAUAAAGGAAAGACCAUACCUUAUGACCCAAUGGUAUCUAUGACAGGUAUUAAUAAUAAUUAAUAAUAAUAAUUAAUAAAUUAAUUAAUUAAUAUCAGGAGCCCAUAAAAGAAAAAGGGAAGGGUAGGAGCGCGCAACACCCACGCAUUUAAUUAAAAUCACUGUAGCCUGCAUAGCUUAAUAAGUUUACUAUUUUUAGAACAAGGUAAACCACACCUGUUUAGUUAAAUGGCUACCAGUGUGAAGGUUGCUCUGAAAAAGAAGCUGUUUACAUCUCAAGACACUGUACCAGCAACAGAUUUAUUGAAAGAACUUAAAAAGAUAAGUAUGCUACCCCAAAAAUUCAGCUCCUUACAGUAAAGCCUUCUCUCAAUCAAGUGCAGCAAGUCUUAGUCUGGAAAAUCUCAAGAAUUAAGAACUGCGAGUUAGCAGGCCCUUUGUAUUGUGUAAUGAAAGUAUUUUUAUUAAUUUGAAGGGCAUUCUGAUUUGCUGUA